ensembl:lncRNA
AGGUGGAUCUCAUCGGACCCUUCACAAAAUCCAGGAAUGGCAACAGCUGGUGUCUGAUGGCAACCAAUCACUUUAUCAAGUGGGUGGAGGCAAAACCCAUUAAGGUCAGUAAAAGGAAGAGUACAUGCAUAACUCUAAAUUCCCGUCUGUAACCAAUUAAAAAGGGUGCUUGGAACCAAAAAUAUAUUUUUUGUUUUGUAUGAUACCCAUCAAGGACGAGACUGGCGAGGCCACCACCAAGGCGAUGACCAAGGCGACAUCACCAAGGCGACAUCUUCAACACCCACGGUUCUCCAGAGGUCAUCUUGAGUGACCGAGGUCAUGAAAGCUGGAACAAGCAUCCAGGCCUCCACUGAGUACAGACGGAAGCCGCAGCUGUUGACUGACGUAAACAAUGCAAUUGGUUUGGAAGAAGGACGAAAGGAAGGAGAGGCCUGGGAAACCUCGCUGCUCUUUCGCUCCUAGCUGGGGUCACCAUCUGUUAAGGGUUACCUCAGUGGAAGCAAACAAUCUUCUCCAGUUGGAGCAGUUGGAGUGUUUCCUUGUUUACGUCUCUGCCUCCUACCCUGUUCCCUUUAACUCUGCUCCUGUUCUCCAGGACCUAGGGGUUCUGCCCAACACCCAGACCUGGAUCCACCUGACGUCCUCAUUACCAGUCACCCUUCAACGUUUCAUUACAUCAUCUACAGCUACUGUUAUUGUCAUUAUCUGCUAAGAACGUUUUCUUGCUCUAACAUACUGGGUACAUAAUUAUGUGAGAUACACAAAUUAACUAAAAACAUUAGCACUGCAAACACUCAGAACAAAGAGAGCAGUGCUUGGAUUUUGCAGUCUCCCUCUUCAAGUCCACCUUCUGAGACUGGCUGCCUGUUGAGAACAAGUGACAGGCAGAAACCUCCACCCACACAGCAACCACCUCGUCAAUAUUCCACACACCAGAGUUUUAUGAUUGCCAUGUGUGUGUAUAUAUAUAUAUAUAUAUAAAAUGACAACUGUUUUAAAAAACAACGUUUAUGUAUUAAAAUCUUACAUUUUGUCAGGUUGGUUUUCACAGCUGUUUCACAAGGUGUUCAUUAUUGUAUGUUUUAAGGUAUCCUUUGAUGGUAUGUAUUUGUUCCACAUUAUUGUAUAAUAGGACCUACAAUAAAUACAUAUUUAACCACAAGUGUGUACUAAUGAGCUACAUGAGAUGUAUAUAUCAUAAUAAAGGACUAGGGAAAGGCAGGUUAAAUAAAAACAUGACAGCCAGACAAGCCAGUGUAUGUAUAAAAUGGAUUUGCAUAUGAAAGGAGUGGAAAUUAGCUGACUUGGUGAUCUGUAAGGUAAGUACCUUUAAUGUGUCAAGCAUCUUACACGUUUUCUUUGCCAUUUCCGAAAAACGUAGCAACGUUUAAGACAUGUAUUUCAUGUUGUAAUGUUAACAAGGUACCACAAGUAGUUCAAAUUAAUGUUUUCAUUUUAUUAGCUAAACAAAACUGGUUUAAACAGCGAAAUUGUCACGGAAAUCAGCCUUGUUUGCAUAGUGACGGUGAAAAUAACGUAAUUUAGGCUGUAAUGAUCUUCAAAAUUCAAAUCAUCGGACGCUAAUAGUUUAUCGAAUCCCAUUGUGAUGCAGAGAGAGAGAGACACUUUUUGGACGGGCCCAGAAUUUGGCAUGACAGGCCCAGAAUAUUUUGCAUACAAUGUUACAGGUUUGCUAGUGCAGCUUUGGGAUGGACCCAACUUAAUAGUUGAUACAAUGUUUCAAGUUCAUAGCAGACAGGCCAUGUCUACCCAAUGUGAUUUAUAGGAUAUUUAUUUUUUAUCAGGAUAUGUUCUACUUGCAGGCUGCAAUGUUUUUAUUUGUUGGCUUUAUGUAGGCUAUUUUUACAUAGUUGGCAAUAGCAAAAGAAGUUACUUUUUAGGUUAUCAUUUAGAUUUGGAUAGAAUGUUGUUUAACCACAUGACAAGGAUUUUGAGAUACGAAGACAUUAUUAUAAAUUAAACUGUUUCACGAAAAUGUGCAUAUGGAAACCAUAACUGGCAUGUAGAUCGGUAGAAAUGGUAAGAGAAACUGGCCUGUAACGUGAGAAAGACUACACGACGAGUCGGCAACCUAUUACAGGCAACUUCAGGAGAGUAAUGGCAGAAUCUGCGAAAGCCAGCAGGAGCAGGAGGAGAAUAUUUCGGUCAGGUUCUCUGGCACCCUCAAGGCAUUUGUCUUAUUUCAUCAAACCGUAAACUUAAAGCAUCAGACAAGCUCAAUGCAUAUAGUUUAUUUUAUUAAAACACAUAGGGUGUGUCUAUACGGGAAAAUACACGAAAAAUGUUGACCAAUCAAUUGGUCGAAAGAACAGACGACUUUCUGCCGAACAAGAUGUUUUUUAGUCGGGGACAGCCCUCGUAAAUAUACACAUUCACACUGAGCCACAGACCUGUGUUAUAAAGAUUCUGACUCUCCACACAGAGCACUGUCUGAUAUAUGACCCUGACUACAGCUGCCCUGGGCUUGCAGGAAUGUUCAGUUUAUUCAGUGAGACGUGUGAGGAUCACUAAACUGUGAUAUCCCACCCGUGUGAGUCAGUGCACAAAAGUGAGUGAAUGGGUGGGUAACUGAGCGAGUGAGCGAUUGAGUCAGGGGGGGAUAUUUUUGGUGGCAUAUCAGCCCAAUACCAGCUGACAGAGAUAUACCAGCACUCAUAUCAAUGGGAUUAACUGGAACCUCGUUAGGAGCGGUGGCCACAGCCCAGCCCCUAGGCGAGCAGCAUGCUUAACUGUACCACAACCAUGAAAUACAACUCAUCAUAAACACAGACCGUCA